AAACACACAUCACUGGGCCAGCUAAACUACUUUAUUCUUUGGUCACUAGUGUCCUCGCUACAGUUUGGAUCUGGAAUGCCCUACAAAGACCUGUGUCCUCAAGGCUUGGCCCAGUCUGUGGCACAAGUUGAGCCUAUGAAGAGGCGGGGCUUAGUGGGAGGCCUUUGGGAACCUGCCCCAGGAGACUGUGGGAACCUUUUCCCUUUCUCUCACUCCCUGACCAUGAAGUGCUCAUUUUUGCUUCACAACGACCCUCUGCCAUUGGUAUCUGACUCUCCCACAGAAGUCUAGGAGGCAUGGUGUGCUGGAUCUCUGAAGGCCAAGCUGUAAGCCAAAGAAAGCCUUCUCCCCUUAUAAAUUGAGGACUUGAAGUGUUUGGUACAGUUACAGACAGCUAACACAGCCUUCCAUUUAAACCUCUAUGGGCUGAGUUCAUGAAAAUAAGCCUCGGUUUAAAGCAGCCAGCAGCAGAACUCUAUCGUAGGGCCUUUUCCUUGUCAAAGGGAGCUAUUGUCUUGCAUGUACCUCCCUAGAGGUGGCAAGUCUGACCAUAUGACAAGGAUGGGAUGACCUCCACCAAAGAGGCUGAAUCUGUGCCAAUGACGCAGCCGGAGGCAGGGAGCACCCCUGCUAGGCACUCCCUGUCACCCCCUCCCAUAACAUCAUAAAAAUGUCUGGGUUUCCCAAGGCCAGCAAACAAAGGGACGGCUGCCUUUCAGAAUAAGCCGUCCUCGACUGGAUGUCUUCCAAGACACACAGAAGGAAUCCCUCUGGCAGAUGAAUCAAUUCACAGAGCUGCAGAGCAAGAGGGACCUGAAAUAAUCACCUGAAAUGGCCUUUGUUUCCAAGAUGAGGAAACGGGGAGGCCUUAGAGGUGAGAGGAACGGAGCAAGGUCACGGCUGAUGCAGACCUGGAUCCCGGCUCCGGUCAGGAUAACUUCCGGCUCCAGCUUCUAAAGGUGGGAGUACCGAAGUCCAGCCUCAAAGUUUGUCUUUAGCUUCUUCAUUAGAAGUCUUCGUUGGACUCAGUCAGAGUGCCGGUGAUGGUCAGAGAGCAGCUUACAGCAGUCCAGCCUCCUAUUCCAACCUGUGGAUACUGGGAAUUGAAUUCAGAUCAUCAGCCUGGCGCCUUAACCUGCUGGCUCAUGAAAAGAUUUUAGAAUUGUGAGGAAGGCCUGAGAUUCCCUUCUUUCCUGACACUGGGACCAGUCUCAGAGUUGACUACCUGUGACUGCUUAGUUCUAUGAAGAACCCGGAAACUGAUCCAGCUGCCUCCUGGGAAGUCCGGGGCCUAGCACCUCCUGCUACCUGUGACUCUCUGAUGAACUCUAAGUGCACCUCAGACUGAAAAUGGACCACAAUGAUUUAUGCAUCAUAGGGCCUACCCGAAGAAAACCACAAACUGACUCUGUAGCCAAGGAU
rnacentral:sRNA from 1 species